rnacentral:rRNA from 1 species
AACGAACGCUGGCGGCAUGCCUAACACAUGCAAGUCGAACGAGACCUUCGGGUCUAGUGGCGCACGGGUGCGUAACGCGUGGGAACCUGCCCUUAGGUUCGGAAUAACUCCCCGAAAGGGGUGCUAAUACCGGAUAAUGUCUUCGGACCAAAGAUUUAUCGCCUUUGGAUGGGCCCGCGUUGGAUUAGCUAGUUGGUAGGGUAAAAGCCUACCAAGGCGACGAUCCAUAGCUGGUCUGAGAGGAUGAUCAGCCACACUGGGACUGAGACACGGCCCAGACGCCUAGGGGAGGCAGCAGAGGGGAAAAUUGGAAAAGGGGCGAAAUCCUGACCCAGCAAUGCCGGGUGAGGGAUGAAGGCCUUAGGGUUGAAAAGCUCUUUUACCCGGGAUGAAAAUGACAGUACCGGGAAAAAAAGCCCCGGCUAACUCCGU